rnacentral:rRNA from 1 species
AUUGAACGCUGGCGGAAUGCUUUACACAUGCAAGUCGAACGGCAGCACGGACUUCGGUCUGGUGGCGAGUGGCGAACGGGUGAGUAAUGUAUCGGGACGUGCCCAGUCGUGGGGGAUAACGUAGUGAAAAUUACGCUAAUACCGCAUACGAUCUAUGGAUGAAAGCGGGGGAUCGCAAGACCUCGCGCGAUUGGAGCGGCCGAUAUCAGAUUAGGUAGUUGGUGGAGUAAAGGCCCACCAAGCCAACGACCUGUAGCUGGUCUGAGAGGACGACCAGCCACACUGGAACUGAGACACGGUCCAGACUCCUACGGGAGGCAGCAGUGGGGAAUUUUGGACAAUGGGCGAAAGCCUGAUCCAGCCAUUCCGCGUGCAGGAUGAAGGCCCUCGGGUUGUAAACUGCUUUUGUACAGAACGAAAAGGUUUCUACUAAUACUAGGAGCUCAUGACGGUACUGUAAGAAUAAGCACCGGCUAACUACGUGCCAGCCGCCGCGGUAA